rnacentral:rRNA from 1 species
GGAGGGUGCAAGCGUUGUUCGGAAUUACUGGGCGUAAAGCGCGUGUAGGCGGCUUGGUAAGUCGGGUGUGAAAUCCCGAGGCUCAACCUCGGAACUGCACCCGAAACUGCCAAGCUUGAGUCCCGGAGAGGGUGGCGGAAUUUCCGGUGUAGAGGUGAAAUUCGUAGAUAUCGGAAGGAACACCAGUGGCGAAGGCGGCCACCUGGACGGUGACUGACGCUGAGACGCGAAAGCGUGGGGAGCAAACAGGAUUAGAUACCCUGGUAGUCCACGCCGUAAACGUUGAGUGCUAGACGUCGGGGGUAUUGACCCCCCUCCCGGUGUCGGAGUUAACGCAUUAAGCACUCCGCCUGGGGAGUACGGCCGCAAGGCUA